rnacentral:rRNA from 1 species
GACGAACGCUGGCGGCAUGCCUAAUACAUGCAAGUCGAGCGAACAGAUGAAGUGCUUGCACUUCUGACGUUAGCGGCGAACGGGUGAGUAACACGUAAGGAAUCUACCUAUAAGCGGGGGAUAACAUUCGGAAACGGGUGCUAAUACCGCAUAAUAUCUUCUUCCGCAUGGAAGAAGAUUGAAAGACGGCUCUGCUGUCACUUAUAGAUGACCUUGCGGUGCAUUAGUUAGUUGGUGGGGUAAUGGCCUACCAAGACGAUGAUGCAUAGCCGACCUGAGAGGGUGAUCGGCCACAUUGGGACUGAGACCCGGCCCAAACUCCUACGGGAGGCAGCAGCAGGGAAUCUUCCGCAAUGGGCGAAAGCCUGACGGAGCAAUGCCGCGUGAGUGAAGAAGGCCUUCGGGUCGUAAAACUCUGUUAUAAGAGAAGAACAAAUUGUAGAGUAACUGUUACAGUCUUGACGGUAUCUUAUCAGAAAGCCACGGCUAACUACGUGCCAGCCGCCGCGGUAA